AUUGAACGCUGGCGGCAGGCCUAACACAUGCAAGUCGAGCGGAUGAAGGGAGCUUGCUCCUGGAUUCAGCGGCGGACGGGUGGGUAAUGCCUAGGAAUCGGCCUGGUAGUGGGGGAUAACGUCCGGAAACGGGCGCUAAUACCGCAUACGUCCUGAGGGAGAAAGUGGGGGAUCUUCGGACCUCACGCUAUCAGAUGAGCCUAGGUCGGAUUAGCUAGUUGGUGGGGUAAAGGCCUACCAAGGCGACGAUCCGUAACUGGUCUGAGAGGAUGAUCAGUCACACUGGAACUGAGACACGGUCCAGACUCCUACGGGAGGCAGCAGUGGGGAAUAUUGGACAAUGGGCGAAAGCCUGAUCCAGCCAUGCCGCGUGUGUGAAGAAGGUCUUCGGAUUGUAAAGCACUUUAAGUUGGGAGGAAGGGCAGUAAGUUAAUACCUUGCUGUUUUGACGUUACCAACAGAAUAAGCACCGGCUAACUUCGUG
rnacentral:rRNA from 1 species